CACAGCAGCAUCUUUAAAGACUCUAGUACACCACUUCUUCCGUAUGUUUGGCCAAGAAUUAUCCUUGUCGCUUCCUACGCUGAACCAGGGCUAUGAUAGCCAGAAACUUGUGCGUGCUCCUCGAGGACUGUGAUAGGCAAAGUCCUCUGCGUUGUACUAGGCCAGAAACGCAGAAUCCUCAGGAGUCUCUGUGGAGCCACGGCCCAAGAGCUGAACACAGGUGUCAACCCAGCUUCACGCACAUGCAGAGACC
rnacentral:lncRNA from 1 species